AACGAACGCUGGCGGCAUGCCUAACACAUGCAAGUCGAACGAGAUCUUCGGGUCUAGUGGCGCACGGGUGCGUAACGCGUGGGAAUCUGCCCUUUGGUUCGGAAUAACAGUUGGAAACGACUGCUAAUACCGGAUGAUGACGAAAGUCCAAAGAUUUAUCGCCAGAGGAUGAGCCCGCGUAGGAUUAGCUAGUUGGUGUGGUAAAGGCCCACCAAGGCGACGAUCAGUAGCUGGUCUGAGAGGAUGAUCAGCCACAUUGGGACUGAGACACGGCCCAAACUCCUACGGGAGGCAGCAGUGGGGAAUAUUGGACAAUGGGCGCAAGCCUGAUCCAGCCAUGCCGCGUGAGUGAUGAAGGCCUUAGGGUUGUAAAGCUCUUUCGUCCGGGACGAUAAUGACGGUACCGGAAGAAGAAGCCCCGGCUAACUUCGUGCCAGCCGCCGCAGUAACAC
rnacentral:rRNA from 1 species